CUAGUUAUCAGCCUUGUCAUUAUCCAGAGGCCGCAGCCCAGAUGCGGCAGUCAGAGCCUGGUCACCAGCCUCGGGGGCUCCGAGGCCGCUGUGAGCUCUAGCAGUGAAAAAACAGCAGCAGUCGGCUGACCCCUGCCCUUGAAAUUGGUAUUUGGUAGCACAUUGCCAUCUUCUGCUCCUUGAACCAGCCUACAACUGUGAGACAGAAACUGCGUGGUGCUUUAGUAUAAGUAAAAACCGAUCAGGACCAAAAUCAGCUGCCCGCUUCAUCGCCUUUUACCAUGGAGAGGGGAAAGACAUAAAAGAGGAAGAGAAAACAGGAGUAAAGCCCACUGUUGGUGCUUUGCAAAUCCUUCCAGCGUCAAUCCUCACAGUUACUCAUCCCUAGGCGUGCAAUACUAGCAGAAUCUGGCUGAUGCUUCCUCACCUUUCAGGUCUCUUCCCCAUCUCCACCUCCUUCCCAUAGGAAUCUCCCUGCUAUAAAUCCUCAACGCCAUAAUUAAAAUUAUGUGUUUUGGGGCUUAAUUAUUUAGAAUCUGUUGCCGUUUCCUCUUUCAUAUGGAGAAGGGCAUGGCGACCCACUCCAGUAUUCUUGCCUGGAGCACUCCAUGGGCAGAAGAGCCUUGUGGGCUACAGUCCACAGGGUCGCAAAGAGUCCGGACACGACUGAGUGACUAACACACUUCGUCUUUCAUAUGCCAACCACCCGCUCAUCUUCAAAUAAGCUUCAGAAGGGCGGGCCCUGACAGUUUUCCUCACCAAGGGGUGAGUGUUCUCACCUCGCAGCAUUGCAGGCGCCUUGCAGUGUUGAUUGCCGCACAGCACGCAAUCUCCAAGCAUUUACUGAAAAGAAGUGUUUCCGUGUUUAGCGGUUAAUAAUACCAGGCCCACAGGAAGCGGUCAAGAAGUAAACAGCACUGACUCACGUCCACACCUAUUUUUUCAGUUCUUUCUCACAAAGCCCGCUACGUAUGGAAGCCGGUAUUGAGGGGUCUAGAAAACUUC
rnacentral:lncRNA from 1 species